GACGAACGCUGGCGGCGUGCCUAACACAUGCAAGUCGAACGAGAUCCAUGGGAGCUUGCUCCCGGAAGAUCUAGUGGCGAACGGGUGAGUAACACGUGAGAAACCUGCCCUGGAGUGGGGAAUAACUCGGGGAAACUCGAGCUAAUACCGCAUACCCUCGGAUGGUCGCAUGGCCGACCGAGGAAAGAUUUUAUCGCUCUAGGAGGGUCUCGCGGCCUAUCAGCUAGUUGGUGGGGUAACGCCUACCAAGGCAACGACGGGUAGCUGGUUUGAGAGAACGAUCAGCCACACUGGGACUGAGACACGGCCCAGACUCCUACGGGAGGCAGCAGUGGGGAAUCUUGCGCAAUGGGCGAAAGCCUGACGCAGCAACGCCGCGUGCGGGAUGACGGCCUUCGUGGUUGU
rnacentral:rRNA from 1 species